rnacentral:rRNA from 1 species
AUUGAACGCUGGCGGCAGGCUUAACACAUGCAAGUCGAGCGGGGUGAUGGUGCUUGCACUAUCACUUAGCGGCGGACGGGUGGGUAAUGCUUAGGAAUCUGCCUAUUAGUGGGGGACAACAUCUCGAAAGGGAUGCUAAUACCGCAUACGUCCUACGGGAGAAAGCAGGGGAUCACUUGUGACCUUGCGCUAAUAGAUGAGCCUAAGUCGGAUUAGCUAGUUGGUGGGGUAAAGGCCUACCAAGGCGACGAUCUGUAGCGGGUCUGAGAGGAUGAUCCGCCACACUGGGACUGAGACACGGCCCAGACUCCUACGGGAGGCAGCAGUGGGGAAUAUUGGACAUGGGGGGAACCCUGAUCCAGCCAUGCCGCGUGUGUGAAGAAGGCCUUAUGGUUGUAAAGCACUUUAAGCGAGGAGGAGGCUCUUUUGGUUAAUACCCAAGAUGAGUGGACGUUACUCGCAGAAUAAGCACCGGCUAACUCUGUGCCAGCCGCCGCAGUAA